rfam:Salmo salar isolate Sally breed double haploid chromosome ssa18, whole genome shotgun sequence.
UAGCUCAGUUGGUAGAGCAUGGUGUUUGCAUGGUGUUUGCAACGCCAGGGUUGUGGGUUCGAUUCCCAC